UACGAAGGGGGCUAGCGUUGUUCGGAAUCACUGGGCGUAAAGGGCGCGUAGGCGGCUUUAUAAGUCGGGGGUGAAAGCCUGUGGCUCAACUCCAGAACUGCCUUCGAUACUAAGAGUCUCGAGUCCGGGAGAGGUGAGUGGAACUGCGAGUGUAGAGGUGAAAUUCGUAGAUAUUCGCAAGAACACCAGUGGCGAAGGCGGCUCACUGGCCCGGUACUGACGCUGAGGUGCGAAAGCGUGGGGAGCAAACAGG
rnacentral:rRNA from 1 species